GCAUAUCAAUAAGCGGAGGAAAAGAAACCAACAGGGAUUGCCCUAGUAACGGCGAGUGAAGCGGCAACAGCUCAAAUUUGAAAUCUGGCCCUCGGGUCCGAGUUGUAAUUUGUAGAGGAUGCUUUUGGUGCGGUACCUUCCGAGUUCCCUGGAACGGGACGCCAUAGAGGGUGAGAGCCCCGUCUGGUUGGAUACCAAUCCUCUGUAAAGCUCCUUCGACGAGUCGAGUAGUUUGGGAAUGCUGCUCUAAAUGGGAGGUAUAUGUCUUCUAAAGCUAAAUACCGGCCAGAGACCGAUAGCGCACAAGUAGAGUGAUCGAAAGAUGAAAAGCACUUUGAAAAGAGGGUUAAACAGUACGUGAAAUUGUUGAAAGGGAAGCGCUUGUGACCAGACUUGGGCCCGGUUAAUCAUCCAGCGUUCUCGCUGGUGCACUUGGCCGGCCCAGGCCAGCAUCAGUUCGGCGCGGGGGAUAAAGACUUUGGGAAUGUGGCUCCUCCGGGAGUGUUAUAGCCCACUGUGUAAUACCCUGCGCUGGACUGAGGUUCGCGCAUCUGCAAGGAUGCUGGCGUAAUGGUCAUCAGCGACCCGUCUUGAAACACGGACCAAGGAGUCGUCUUCGUAUGCGAGUGUUCGGGUGUUAAACCCCUACGCGUAAUGAAAGUGAACGCAGGUGAGAGCUUCGGCGCAUCAUCGACCGAUCCUGAUGUUCUCGGAUGGAUUUGAGUAAGAGCAUACGGGGCCGGACCCGAAAGAAGGUGAACUAUGCCUGUAUAGGGUGAAGCCAGAGGAAACUCUGGUGGAGGCUCGCAGCGGUUCUGACGUGCAAAUCGAUCGUCAAAUAUGGGCAUGGGGGCGAAAGACUAAUCGAACCUUCUAGUAGCUGGUUUCCGCCGA
rnacentral:rRNA from 1 species